ensembl:lncRNA
UAGAAAGUAUAAAAGAUAAGAUUAUAAAUAUCUUUACUGUCACUUUUGAUCAAUUUUACAGUAUGUGUCGUUUCUGAAGAAAAUAAUGUAAAAAAAAUUUAUAACAAAAAAAUUAAUCUGAAUUAAUUUGUAAAAAAAAAAAAAAAAAAAAGACUGAAUCCAAAACUUUGAACAGUAGUGUAUAUACUAUCAUGCUUGCUAACAAUCUGCCAUCUUUCCUGUGUUGCAUCAGGUCAUUUUUGCCCUGUUGGCACUGCUGCAGCUGUACCCUGUCCUGUGGGCUCACUGGGACAGGUUACCAGAGCUCAAUCGGAGGCUGCCUGUGUGCCCUGCCCUACCGGCCUUUACUGCAGUUCACCUGGAACGUCACAACCACAGGGCCAGUGCCAGCAAGGUUAUUUCUGCCAAGGAGGGUCUCCAAAUCCUGCUCCUCUGAAUACAACUGGCUACCUCAGGAAUGGCCCCUGUCCGAAGGGUCACUUUUGCCCUUCUGGAACCCUUAUGCCUUUGCCUUGCCCAGCAGGCAGCAUUCGUAAUCUCACAGGGGGUUACUCCAUAGAAAGCUGUCUUCCCUGCCCAGCAGGACAUUACUGUGCUAGCGAGGGCCUGGAUGCUCCAACUGGACCCUGUGCUGCAGGCUUUUACUGCCCAGUAGACUUCUCCUCCACCACCCCACACGCCUUCCUCUGCCCCAAGGUCAGUUCUGCCUCCUUCACUCCCUUCUAUCGCUUUUUAAUCUGUGCCUAGCAACCUGACUGACAGGUUUUGCUCUCUCAGGGUCAUUACUGUCCCUUGGGCUCAACCCUGGCCUUGCCCUGCCCCACGGGACAGUACCAGCCAAAUCCGGGCUCGGAUAACUGCAUCCCCUGCCGUCCAGGCUAUUACUGUGAGGAGGCAAUUAUCGGAGACCCCCGGCCUUGCCCGCCACACUCCUACUGCCCUGCAGGUAACCCAUGCUGCUGUAAUUCUCUAUAUUGUGUCUGUGGUGUCAUUAGUACACGCACAUUGUCUCAUUCUGCUUGUAAUUGCAGCAACAAUGGUUCCUCAGCCCUGUCCUAAUGGCACAUACACCCCACUUGAGGUGGGGGGUUUGCAGGAGGAGAGAGAGUGUUUGCCGUGUCCACCAGGAAAGUUCUGCAAGUAUGUUUACAGACCUUAUAAGACUUUUUUUCAAUCAUAGACACUUAUGACCUUGUUAUGACCUUAUUUUAUUAUUUAUUUGUAUGCUACUAUUCAGAUGU